UACGUAGGUGACCAGCGUUGUCCGGAUUUACUGGGCGUAAAGAGCGCGCAGGCGGUCGUUCAAGUCGAGUGUGAAAGCCCCCGGCUCAACCGGGGAGGGUCACUCGAUACUGAUCGACUGGAAGGCAGGAGAGGGAAGCGGAAUUCCCGGUGUAGUGGUGAAAUGCGUAGAUAUCGGGAGGAACACCAGUGGCGAAGGCGGCUUCCUGGCCUGUUCUUGACGCUGAGGCGCGAAAGCUAGGGGAGCAAACGGG
rnacentral:rRNA from 1 species